UUUUUUUUUUUUGCACAGAUGAUGCCUAGUGGGAUAAGAAGACUGAAUUAUUAACUCAUGUAAAACAUAUUGAUAAAUAACUGUCAUUUAAAAAACUGUGAUUUCAUAUCCUUUAUUACUGCAGUGAAAUGACACAUAACAGUUUAAUUACUCACCAUAAACUUUGUUAAAUUUUUCCGAAACUCAGGCCUAGAACUGUCUUCUAGCUUGUCUACAAAAGCAAUCACAUUAGAAUGCAGAUGCCUUUAUAGAUAAGAAAUGCUAAUGAAAUGUAAAGCAAAAUAACAUAAUAGGUAAUUAAACAAAAGAACUGCAAAACAUAGACAUUCUUCAAAAUACAAUUCAUUUCUAACUUGAGAAAUUUUGCAACAUUUUUCACAACAGAAAAGCAGUGGAGGGAGGUGGCCAUUAAAUAUUAAACAUUUCCAUUUUAGAGUGAAAAUUUCUUUUAGACCUUCUCUCUGAAAACUCUUAUUAACUGUGUAUAUCUUAGUGAAAAACAAAUAUAUUGAUAUAUUGUUGAUCUUGCAAUGUUGAUAAGUAUCAGAAAUAAAGAUAGAAAUCUUAGAAAACCCCAAGUAUCCCACGCAUUAUUUAAGGAGAAAUACCACACUGGACUGGAGGGAAACCUAUCUGCUAGGCUGUCAGUUAUUUCUUGGUUUACCCUACUUGCACUGAGAUUCAGCUGGAAUGUACAAACAACUCUUUUAAAAGGCCCAUCCUUGAAUGCAGGGGACAUAGAUUCUACUUUUGACUCUUCCACUAUCUAUAUCUAAGCUCUCUCAUCCAUAAACCUAGCAGGUGAAAUGAUAAGGAAAUUUUAAAAUUCUGAGAUUUUAUAAUCAGUGUCCUUAUCUCAAGAGCACGCUUAGUGGGGCCGAACUCCUCCGUUUAUCGUGAACUCAGACUUGAGAACCAUCCACAGACUGCUACGUGGGGAACCUGCACUCCAUGUGCCUCAUCCUUCUCAGUGAGGAAGCCUACCGGUCUGAACAGUGAUCUCCUUUCUGAAGAAAUUAAUGCUUUCUAGUUGGAUAGAGGGCAAAGAUUGCAGGUAAAGUGUAAUGGAGAAUCUGGGAGGAUAAUUAUGGUAACAUUACUUUUUCUCUCUACUUUUCUGUUUUGGAUUUCAGAUUCUGUAUUUUUACAUUCUGGAAAACAUGUAGAGACACUCUUACUUGAACCGUGCCUUUCACAUAUCCCUCAGCAUGCUCAUCUAGGGCAGCAGAAUCAUGGCUCACUUCUGCAUUACCUCAGACCCACAGCUCCACGGGCAGCAUCUGUUAUUCUCCUGCACACUUGGUGGCUGGUGGGAAGCCAAACAAGCGGAGCCUUCUUUUAUUCACACAACAGAAGAUGGUGUCAGCUUGAGAAGUUUAAAAGUAUAAUGAAGCAACUCAGCAGGCAGCCAGGACCCUCACCUUGUAAAUAUCUUCAUCCUGUGCAAGAGGAGGGCAGAGAGACAGUGUGCAUGCUAUAUCUGGCCAACAAAGGAGUGGCACAACUACUAUGGAAUGGACGAAUUAUACAGAAGAGAGCCUUUUCAUUUGGGCCUUUUCCAUUUAGUAAGACAUGUUUAAGGUUUGUCCAUAUCUUUUUGUGGCUUAGUACCUAAUUUAUUUCUGUUAUUCAAGAUAUUCUAAUAUAUGGCUGUGCAUAGUUCGUUUUUCCAUUCACCUUCUUGAUUACUUUCAUCUUGGUUACUUUGUCAUCUUGGUUACUUUCAGAUUCGGAUUAUGAGAAAAGAUGCUGUAAUCAUUCAGAUGCACAUUUUUGUGUGAACUUUACUGAAGUUGAAUCUUGAAUAUCCCUCAAGGACCCCUAUAACUGAAGGCUUGAUCACCAAGAUGACAGAUGGUGCAAAUUUUAGGAUAUGGGAGCCUAGUGACACAACCUUAGGUCACUGGAAGUUUGUCCUCAAAGGAGCUUGUGGGAUUCCAGUUCCUUCCACUUUUGCUUCCUGACCAUAGGCAAUGCUUUGAUCCACCAUUAAUUUUUACCAUCACAUUCUGCCCUACCAUUGUCGUAUAGACAAAACCCUCAGGAGCUGGGAGCUGAUGUAAACCUGCUAGUCAGAAAGGUGACUAACAGUCCUCAAAUCAGGUGGGUAAUUGUCUAGGAAUACAAAUGCUGAAAUCACUGGAGAGAUGUAAGUAGCUCUGUAAGAAAUUACUAAACUGCCUUUCACAGGAGCAGUGGGGGCCUGGUUAUCUUCACAAGGACUGAGAAUUUCUGUUGUUCUGAUUCUUUACUAGCAUUUGAUAUUAUUGGACAUUUUAUUUUGUUUUUAAUUGGUUUAAUAAGUAUGUACUGGUAUCUCAUUCUUGUUUUAAUUUGCAAUUCCUGGAUAAUAAGUGAUAUUGAAUAUUCUCUCACAUGCUUUUAUUUCCAUCUGUGUAUCUUCCUUAAUGUGGUCUCUUAAGAUUUGCUUAUCUUAAAAUUGGUUUGUUUGCUUUUGUAUCUUUGGAUUUCAAGUUUCUUUGUAUAUUUCAAAUACAGAUUCUUUAUCAGAUACAUAUGCUCCAAAUAGUUGUAUUUGUCCAGAAAUUGUCUUUACAUUUUUUAACAGUAUUUUUCACAAAGCAAACAACUUUCUUUUAAUAAACUUCCAAGUUUUUAACUUUCUUUCAUAGAUUGUACCUUGGUAUUGUUUCUAAAAAUGCCAGUAAAAGUCAUGUCACCUAAAUAUUUUGCCUGGUAUGCUCUAGUAGUUAUACAGCUAUGUUUGACAAUGUAUCAGGGACUUGCCCAGAGAAUGAAUGGUUAAAUUGCAGGAUAAAGGCAUGCAGGCUCUGUGUGGAGUGAAUGGCUAAACAGUAAGGCAUGUUGUGGUUGUGUCUGCAUGUUAUCUUUCCACUGUCCCCAAGAAAACUGCCUUGCCUUGCCCAAACUGUUUUUCUUCUGCUUUUUUCUCUUGCACUGAUAUUCUAAAUAAGAGCUUGAGGGUUGUUGGUUUUGGUGCUACUUUUGGGAGUCUCCCUAACACUGGGUGCUGUCAGCUGAGUAGCCUUUCUGGCCCUUGAAGGCAUUGAACUAAGUCUCAUCUCUGGGUAAUUUUUCAUUCGCUACACUGCUUGAUCUCACACUGUUAUGGCUGCUUAAGUGUCCUCCUAAAGCCUCAUGCAGUCAUGGAGACAGCUGAGUCUAGCUUUUGUGAUUGGUUUGUUGUCUAGUGCUGUGACUGGUCCUGUGAGUGCAGCACUUGCCUAGGGGUGGGGAGUCAGUGUACUAUAUAAGACAGGGAAGAAGUAGGGCUUUUCUUCUUUUUCUCUUUAAUUCUUGUCUCUUGUGGCUGCCAUGAAUGGCUGCUCCUCAGGCAUUCCACCAUGACUUGGAACUAGCUGAGUAUGGACUGAAACUUCCAUAAACUGUAAGCUAAAUAAUCAUUUCCUUGCUUUACUUUGGGUGUCAGCUAUUUUGUAUCAACAGUGAGAAAAAAGUAACCAAGGCAUACACUGUGACAAAAUUUAAGCCUUUGAUGUAUUUUGGAGUUACAUGAGAUGAAAAACACAAGGUUAUAUUGUAGACCUUUCAUUUUCAUAUGUGCAUUCAAUCAGUUACAUAUAUUUUCUUUACUUUGUUGAACUUUUGCUUUUGUAUCUUUUCAAAGAUUGGUUGACCACAUUUUUAUUAGUAUAUUUCUAGGGUUUAUAUUCUAUCUAUAUG